GAUGAACGCUGGCGGCGUGCCUAAUACAUGCAAGUCGAGCGAACGGACGAGAAUCUUGCUUCUCUGAUGUUAGCGGCGGACGGGUGAGUAACACGUGGAUAACCUACCUAUAAGACUGGGAUAACUUCGGGAAACCGGAGCUAAUACCGUAUGAUAUUUUGAACCGCAUGGUUCAAAAGUGAGAGACGGUCUUGCUGUCACUUAUAGAUGGAUCCGCGCUGCAUUAGAUAGUUGGUAAGGUAACGGCUUACCAAGGCAACGAUGCAUAGCCGACCUGAGAGGGUGAUCGCCCACACUGGAACGGAGACACGGUCAAGACUCCUACGGGAGGCAGCAGUAGGGAAUCUUCCGCAAUGGGCGAAAGCCUGACGGAGCAACGGCGCGUGAGUGAUGAAGGUCUUCGGAUCGUAAAACUCUGUUAUUAGGGAAGAACAUAUGUGUAAGUAACUGUGCACAUCUUGACGGUACCUAAUCAGAAAGCCACGGCUAACUACGUG
rnacentral:rRNA from 1 species